AUGUAUAGGAGCUGACGCCUGCCCGGUGCUGGAAGGUUAAGGGGAUCUGUUAGAGCAAUCGAAGCAGUGAACUUAAGCCCCAGUAAACGGCGGCCGUAACUAUAACGGUCCUAAGGUAGCGAAAUUCCUUGUCGGGUAAGUUCCGACCCGCACGAAAGGCGUAACGAUUUGGGCACUGUCUCAACAACAGACUCGGUGAAAUUGUAAUUCCGGUGAAGAUGCCGGAUACCUGCGACAGGACGGAAAGACCCCAUGGAGCUUUACUGUAGCUUGACAUUGGGUCUUGGUACUACAUGUACAGGAUAGGUGGGAGGCUUUGAAACCAGGACGCCAGUUUUGGCGGAGCCAUCCUUGGGAUACCACCCUUGUAGUACUGGGACUCUAACCAUAGGCCAUGAAUCUGGUCUUGGGACACUGUCAGGUGGGCAGUUUGACUGGGGCGGUCGCCUCCCAAAAGGUAACGGAGGCGCUCAAAGGUUCUCUCAGUACGGUCGGAAAUCGUACGUAGAGUGUAAAGGCAAAAGAGAGCUUGAUUGCAAGACAUACAGGUCGAGCAAGGAUGAAAAUCGGACUUAGUGAUCCGGUGGUUCUGCGUGGAAGGGCCAUCGCUCAACGGAUAAAAGCUACCCUGGGGAUAACAGGCUUAUCUCCCCCAAGAGUCCACAUCGACGGGGAGGUUUGGCACCUCGAUGUCGGCUCAUCACAUCCUGGGGCUGUAGUAGGUCCCAAGGGUUGGGCUGUUCGCCCAUUAAAGUGGUACGCGAGCUGGGUUCAGAACGUCGUGAGACAGUUCGGUCCCUAUCCGUCGCAGGCGUAGGAAAUUUGAGAAGACCUGUCCUUAGUACGAGAGGACCGGGAUGGACGUACCUCUGGUGUACCAGUUGUCCUGCCAAGGGCAUGGCUGGGUAGCUAUGUACGGAAUGGAUAAGCGCUGAAAGCAUCUAAGCGCGAAGCCAACUUCAAGAUAAGAUUUCCCACCGCAAGGGUAAGACCCCAGAAAGACUAUCUGGUUGAUAGGUCGAAGGUGUAAGUGCAGCAAUGUAUUUAGCUUAUCGAUACUAAUAGGUCGAGGACUUGACCAA
rnacentral:rRNA from 1 species